AAGUCGUAACAAGGUAACCGUAGGUGAACCUGCGGUUGGAUCAUUAAAAAGAUCUAGCCCGAUUUUGCACCUGGCCUUGAGCUGGUGGAAUGACAGGCUUUUCUCACGUACGUGAGUCAACAUCAUGUGAACUGUUUUGUCUCUGGCGGUGGGAUGGCUCAAAACCGUCUGUCAGCAUCCGAGGUAAUCUCGGUGUGCCGUGGACAAGCCGCCAACGGUGUAUGUUUCAUACAAACUUUUUGUUUCUUUAAAACUGUCUGACCUACUUUUGUAUCUAAAUAAUACAAAAACAACUUUUGGCAACGGAUCUCUUGGCUCCC
rnacentral:misc_RNA from 1 species